rnacentral:rRNA from 1 species
AUUGAACGCUGGCGGCAGGCCUAACACAUGCAAGUCGAACGAGUGGCGGACGGGUGAGUAAUGUCUGGGAAACUGCCUGAUGGAGGGGGAUAACUACUGGAAACGGUAGCUAAUACCGCAUACCAUCGGAUGUGCCCAGAUGGGAUUAGCUAGUAGGUGAGGUAAUGGCUCACCUAGGCCACGAUCUCUAGCUGGUCUGAGAGGAUGAUCAGCCACACUGGGACUGAGACACGGCCCAGACGCCUACGGGAGGAAGCAGUGGGGAAUAUGGCACAAUGGGCGCAAGCCUGAUGCAGCAAUGCCGCGUGUAUGAAGAAGGCCUUAGGGUUGUAAAGUACUUUCAGCGGGGAGGCGUUACCCGCAGAAGAAGCACCGACUAACUCCGUGCCAGCAGCCGCGGUAAUUC